rfam:Ovis aries breed Texel chromosome 1, whole genome shotgun sequence.
UCCCUGGUGGCUCAGAGGUUAAAGCGUCUGCCUCCAAUGCAGGAGACACGGGUUUGAUCCCUGUGUUGGGAA